GAUUCUGGCUCAGGAUGAACGCUGGCGGCGUGCUUAACACAUGCAAGUCGAACGAAUUACUUAAAGAAGUCUUCGGAUGGAAAUAAAGUAGUUAGUGGCGGACGGGUGAGUAACGCGUGGGAAACCUGCCCUAUACAGGGGGAUAGCCUCGGGAAACCGGGAUUAAUACCCCAUAAAGCUCUAGAAUCGCAUGAUUCAAGAGUCAAAACUCCGGUGGUAUAGGAUGGUCCCGCGUCCCAUUAGCUAGUUGGUGAGGUAACGGCCCACCAAGGCGACGAUGGGUAGCCGGCCUGAGAGGGUGAACGGCCGCACUGGAACUGAGACACGGUCCAGACUCCUACGGGAGGCAGCAGUGGGGAAUAUUGCGCAAUGGGCGAAAGCCUGACGCAGCGACGCCGCGUGAAGGGAUGAAGGUCCUCGGAUCGUAAACCUCUGUCAGGAGGGAAGAACCGCCACGGUGCUAAUCAGCCGUGGUCUGACGGUACCUCCAAAGGAAGCACCGGCUAACUCCGUGCCAGCAGCCGC
rnacentral:rRNA from 1 species